UUACAAAUGUACCUUUUGUGAGGCGAAUGGCACUGUCCUACUUAAAACCUUACAUGAUGCCUCAUUGUCAACAAGUCCAGUCAAACUCCUUGGAAUGAAAUCCACAAUUCUCUACAGUCUUGCCCAACCUUUCCUUUCCAAUGUGAUCUCCUGUCACUUUCUCCCAUCCUAAUUGCUCUGGUUCCUUCAGAAAGCCUAGACGAUGCUAAAUAGUGCCAGGCCUCCGCAUUUUCCCUCAUGUUGCCGUUCCAUCUCUCUCUCCCCUGCCUCUAAAGCAUGCCUCUACCAUAUUCUCUUCAACAUUACCUUGCUACCCCCUACUUCUUUCCUCCUUGAAAGCCCCCUGUCUUCCCUGCACCACACCCCCAGAGUCUACUUAAUUUAUUCUCAUGUGUGCCUACAGUCUUAAAUUAUUUAACUCGUAUAUGCAUGCCAUCUUCCCCACUGUUAGAAGUUUUAGGGCAACAGAGAUGGUUCCUGCCUUUCUUUUAGACUCCUGAUGUGGCCUGACCUAGAACACACAUGUAGCUGUUCAAUGUUGAACUAAAAUACAGGAAAAGAAAGCAUACCAACCACCCCCUUUGAAGACGUGCCAACCUUAAGUUUUCUUUCUAAACCUGCCACUUCUGUCUCUCGGUCGAGCAAUUUUCUAUUCUUGCAUGUCCUUACUGCCUUUCGUGUUCGAGUCAGUUGAUCGACAUUGAUAAUACUGUUGUGUGUCCAGCUCAUAGAGGGAAGCCAGGUUUCCAGGCAUAAGCCAAGGAGAGCAGAAAUCUUCCCACCAUUGCUCUCAGGAUGCCUGAACCUGUCACAUUGAGGUUAGACUAAAAUGUCAGGAAAGGAAAAAACAAUGAGUGCCCGGAGGCUAUGCCUACAGAGGAUGAGGUCAAGAGUUACAAUCUAUCUACUUACUUGUAUUUUAAACAGGUAGAGCUUAAAAUGGAGUUUUUGAGAAAAUUGACAAUAGAACUAUUUCAAUAAAGUCCCCCCCCCCAUGUCUUUUAAGCUACAAAUUAUGUCUUAGGAGUCUUGGUUUAUCUACCUCCUCAAAAGAAAUCCAACUGAGUUUACUCCAGUAAUUUCCCUCAGGAAAAGGAGAUGAGAAAGAUUUAUUACGGUAAUUGAAGAACUGAAAGCAGAAUGACUUUUAAAGUAUUAAGGAGGCUAUUCAUAGCAUUUUAGAUCUUCCUACCAACUCUUUCCAGAAUAUUCUAGAUAUUUACAUAAUAUGGGUAGUAGUGUACACCAGAUCAUAAACACACAGUGUAUUCCCUUAAAUUGGAAAAAAAUAGACUUGAAAUGAAUGCUGCACUUUCUUGACUGAAGAAAACAUUUAAUCCCAGACUACAAAAUUCUGCAAAAUCCUUAACACUGGGAUGACCUUUGCUCCUAUUCUCUCUUGGCAUUCUUCAAUGUUUCAAGAUAGGACAAAAAGAAAAAAAAAAAACUGUCCUAGAUACGAUAAGUUCAUCCUGCUGAGAAAUGCAAAUUUUUCCAAACCAAAAAUAAAACAUGGAUUCAACCAUCAAUAUUGGGAGAUUGUGAAGAUUCUUGGCUCUUGGGCUAUUAUUUCCCAGAAAAAAAAAACCAAAAGACAUCAGUUUUCAUUACCCUUAGCAUGAUUAAAACCAUUCUGAUUCAAAAACACUUUGAGAGGUAGUCACGCACAUGAUACUCAAGUCCUAAAUCUCCUAUGUUCUGGGCAGACACUGGACAGCAUUGCAGAUAUAGUCCCUGAUAGAGGGUUUUUAAUUGUGCGGUCAAGUUCCACUGGAUGAAAUUUAGAUCAUCAAGAGGACUUCCAAAUCUAUUCUAUCUGAUUUUUCAUCUUCUGAGCAUGUGAUUUCUAAAAAUGUGGACAUUGAAGGGGAUAGCAUGCAUUGUAUGUUGACCUGUAAAACUGGACUCGCAGCCCUCUCAAAUAACUCCAUGCCUUUAGACUUCUAACCUGUUUUCCACGCACAAGCCAAAGUAUCUCUAAAAUGCAAACAUGAUCAUGUCACUUUCCUAUGUUAAAUCCCUCAAAGGUCCUCCAUUGCUCUUAGGAUGAAGUCCAAAUUCCUUAUCUUGGCUUACAAGACCCUGUUGAGUCGGACCUGGUUUAUCCCAACUCCAUCUCUUUCCAUCCAUACCCCCCACCAUCAGCACACAUCUCUGCUUCCCAGCGAUACUGAAAAGCCCCUAAUUCUGUGUGGUCUUUUGGUCUCCAUGAAUUCUGCAUUUUUUUUUCCCGCUUACGUCUGCUCCUGCCCUCCACACUUCUUUACUUUAGACUUGACUCCUCAACGCACACGUUUGCACAAAUACAUGUAAGAAUGAACGCAAUGAUAUUGUGAAGAAUAAGAUUUAAUCGUUAACUGUUCCACACUACAAAUUCUGUAGUGAUUUUACAGAAUUAACAUGUAACCUACAAUUUUCAAUGUUGUCAUAUUUUUGUCUUGAUUCCCCCCCCCCACCAAGUCGGUUUCAAUGUUUGACAUAUUAUGAAGUAAGUUCUGUUUCAAAUUAAAAGCAACUCCAAUAUGUAGAGUGCUCUGGCCAUCUCUCUUGAGGUCUGCAAUUGUGCCCUGAUGAGAUUAGAUGUAAUCACUCUGGCUGUCUGUGUUUGAUUUGGCCUGGUCUUGACUUUGUAAAGGAGUAUACAGUAACAUUAAUAAGACAUUUAAUUCACAUAAGAGGUAUUUAAUUUUCCCAUUUGCUAAAUUAACAGUACAAUAGAUAAUCUAGGAGAAUGAUGAAAUACAGUUUACCUGCCCAUUUUUUACUAAAUUUUACAGUUCCUAGAGAGCCUUAGAAAAAGUAUCAUAGUACUUUCUGUAGUUCCACAGGAAAAUAAUGCAUUUGGAAACAUUCUCUCUCUCUCUCUCCCUCUAAACUUUUACUUUCAACUAUUGAAAUUCAGGAUCAUACAUGGUAAGAGUUCACAAUUUUUGCUGGUUGUUGGUUACUGCCCAAAUAUCUGGCUAAUGGUCUGAAGUCCUCAAUUGUUUUAAUGCCAAGAAACCCUAAACUUUCUAUAACUUUAAUCCAGGAAGCUUUUACUAAGCAUUUGCUAUAUUUCAAGGCUUUCCUUCUUGAAAGAGCCCUUAUUUAAAUCGACCUGCAUGAGUGAUUGUGUCCAGGAUGUGAAGGAGUAAAUGUCUAAACACUGACAUUGACUCUAGGACUCUGAGUGAUGAGGCUCUCUCAGGGGUGGGCUUUCCCAAAUGAAACCUGAUGCUUUGUAUGAUGCUGGCACCCUUUCCUGCUGCUUGCCCCUCAGAAGCUGCAUGGUUGUGCCCAGAUAGGUGGGGUCCUAUGUCAUACAGUGGUGUUAUAGAAUACCACUAGGAUAGGUCUGGAAAAUGAGGGACUUGUGAUAGUAAGUUCUUAAGGAGUUCCCUAAAUCAAGGUUUUUAUAGCCAAGGUUCAUCUCUCCAGUCAUGGUUUACCCAUGAUUCCCAUUUCCAGCAACCCAAGUGUUCCUGUGGUGAGUUCUACAAGACUUCUUAGGAGUCGUUGCUGGAGCUGUGCACGGGAUCAGGGCUGAGGUUGGGGUGGGGUGGUCUUGAGAGGUCACCCAUGGCCCUGUACCCUGGAAAAUCUUACAUCCAAAGGGCAGGGACUGGGCCUGUGCCUCCUCCUACCCUGCCUUUGUAGCAGCACUCGACGCUGAAUCCGAGAAUGAAGCAGGAAGUUUUUCAAAACGGACGAGUUUAUCCUCACCAAACUGGUCCUUUUUAUUGCUUGAGAGCAAAGUCGAAAAUGAGAUGAGACCAAACUCAACAAUUUAUACAUUUAAGGGACCAGAGCAAAUGAGAGCGCGAAGAUUUGGUAGAAAAUAAGAUCCCUUCCAGACAUAGUAUCAAAAACGUGGGCAGUCUGCCCCAAAACAAGUCAGCAGCGCAGGUAUGGUGCUGGGGCCCUGCACAAAGAGUCUGGGGACAUUGGGAGAAAAAGAAUGGGCAGCACUUGGCUUCUGAUGAGGAAAGAUGGGUGGAAGACGCGAAAAUAAAAAACAGUUGGAGCGUGACUUCUUAGGUGUGCUCAUUACCAUCAGUGAGGCCAGCCGUCCCUCUGUACUAGAAAGGAGAAGUUGCUUGUAACUCACCUGUCUUCCAUAUGGGGGGUGGGGAUGGGAGUGGAGAGGCUGUGCGUUGGAUCCCUCAGACCCCUCCAAGCCCAAGCCCGGUAUGCUGUGGUACAGGGAGAGCUGUGAGCUACCGGAGGGGGUAUCCCGCUCAUCGAGCCACACCAGCUCUACAUGGGAGCCAUGUGACAGAGAGGCUGACCUCUGGGAAGAAGGGGAGGGCCGGGAAGGAAGGAUGAAGGAUGUACCCUACGGGAUACUGGGGCAUCCUUAACAGCCUUCCCUCGACCUCAGCAGUGCUUCUACGAGUAUCGGUUUUAUAAAUACUCGUUAAACUGCAUGUUAUUUAGGCACUUUUCUGCAUGUUUUAUUUUACAACAUUAAAAAUGUUAAAGAACAGGGUACAAGGACACAAAAGCGAGCCUCUUCCUGGCAUCUUAGUAACUGUAGGACUUUGGGCAGUAAAAAUAAGAAUAAAAACUAUCGAAUGCUUGUUGUAUCCUUGUACUAAACCUGCAUUAUGCAGCAGUCCCAUAGGUUAGAUACUAUUGUGCCCAUUCUACAGAUGAAGCUACCUUAGCAAGGAAGGAGUCUGCCCAAAAUUAUACCCGCCUUGAGAGGCGGGGCCGGGUUUAGACACAAGGUCCUCCUACCGGUCCACCUAGAGCUCACUGUCCUGCCGGGUCACAGGACUAUAUCCAGCUUGGUGCUGGCACAGCUACUCGAACGACACCGUGCGGUCAUGCUAUUCCUGGACAUGAAUGUAGAGUAAGGUUAUUUUAUGAGAUCGUAAUUUGAAGAUGCGGUAUUUGACAGCCUACUUUAAAGAAUGUGCUGGCGAGAUACGCAUAAUGUGAUUAUUUUCGUUGCUUUUAAGAGUGUGUUUCGAUUCAACAUGUUUCUGCUGGGGUGUACACGGAAAAUGGCUGGAAGGGCUUAAAUACUUCCAAGGAGUUUUACUUUUGUUAAAUGGCAUAUCACAAUACGAGUACAUGUUUGACUUUCUCUGUAGCUCCUGGUUUGAUCUCUGGCUGUGCGUGAUAGACCAGUCAACCCCUCAGGACCCUGUACAGUAGUCCUUCUGCCCCUAAGGAGCAGUAAUUUGGACAGUCACUGGGUUCUGGUGACGCUGGAGAGCCACACAGCUGGUGGAACACAGACCCACGCUCCCUGGAAAAAUGACUGAGCACACGGGGACCAAGGAGUGUUGAACCAUUUCUUCAACUGCUGGCUCCCACUCCACAGACCAGGGCAGUAUACCUGGGCGUGGGGUUGAGGUCCAGGACUUUGGGGACAUGGGUGACUGUCACUGACUCUGUGUUUGAGCCAAGGCCAUGGGUGCUGGUCUCUGUGGGUCCUGGAAAUUGUUACUCCACAGUGUCCCAUCUGGUUCCCCCAAACUCCUAUGCUCAUAACCCUGGUACUAUAAUGCCAUCACCACGCUUCCCAAAAAAGGAGGGGUGCAUAGGUCUGGGUAUAAAUGGCAGAAAGUUGAGGGAUACACAAGCCGCUCAAUAAAAUGCGUGUUACGUGCCUGAAGUAUUCAAUUAAAUAUGAUUAAAGUUGCAGGAUCAUCCCCAUAGCCUGAUUCUAAGAGACCCCUGUGCAUCUGAGCCUUGUUCAAGUUCACAGCUCUAAGAUCAGGAAAGGCUCAGGCUGUGUUGGCCUGAAGAGGCUGAGGGUGAUAUGUCAGGAGAGUGUUCAUGCCCAAGUGUGCUGUGCUGGCCCCUCAUAUUGUCCCUGGUGUGGCAGGAGAGCAGUGGUGUGCACCUUGCGGAAGGACAGGCUCCCAGUCUACAAGGCCCCGCCUGAGGGGAACGGUGUUCAAGGGCUGUGUAUCUGCUUCCGCGAGCCAACCUGGGACCUGGACGCUCAGACCUCCCAUCUGUCACUGGGGGGUGUAGCUCUUCUCUCUGCUGUCUACCCUGUUUGCCCAGACUAAUUUAUCCUUUAGAGAAGCAGAUCUUGUUUGGUAGGCCUACGCCCGGUCUAUCAACCUGGACCUAUUAUUGCCAUUUGUCAAUAUGGCGGGGGGUGGGGGCGGGGAAUACAAAUAUAAACAUGAGUAUAGUGAGUAGCAAGGACAAAAUUGCCUGAACUUUCCGACGAAACUGCAACAUUUCAGAAACCGAGGGAAUCAAUGUCUUGGGGCGGCUUUGGGCUGGCCUAGCGUAAGAUCUGGGCAGGUGUGAUCGCUACCAGGGGAGGUGGGAUAAUAUAAAUUCAUUCUCCUCUGCCCUUAGCAACAUUUGUUGGCUUGCAGAGCAGAUUCCCAGAGGCUGGCUCCCAGGAGUGAAUGAUCGGGACAAGCUCUCUGUGGGCUACAGGGCGGCACACGACGGAGAAUUGUGGGUAUAGUGUUGUCACGGAGCUCAGGCUAGGAACUGCGGCCUCCGCCACCUCCCAUGCCCUCUCUGGCAAAUCACAUCUCAGCGCCUCCUUUUCCUCCUCGGAGGAAACGACGACGGCAAGGAGAGGACCUACCUCUCAGAGUUGUUGUGAAGAUUAAACGGGUUAACUUGCGCGAGGCUCUUAGGAAGUGGCAGGGAGCAAGCAUUCAGUAAACGUAAGCUAGCAGCAAUGGCAGGAGGCCCAGGAGCAGCAGGAGGAGGAGGAGGACUGUCGGGGAAAAGCAGCCAUCCUUUCCAGAGAUCUCAGCCUGGUGCUCAAGGAAGCCAGCUACUUUGGCGAGAGGUUCCCCUCUGACGUCGAUCCUGCAUUUGCCCAUCGGUGGUUUGUAGCCUUGUCGUCCACGCUCUUAAAUCCUUGAACAGUUGCAGGCACUUGUUGAGAAGAACCCCCGUCGGCUCCCGUGGGCCACAUGAGAUUCUCUUCCUACCUCUCCUUUCUCCUCUUCGUGGAAGCACGUGAUUUCCAUACUCAAGAUUUCCAGGGGGGACAGAGAGCAAAGAUCACACCACAAGGGGAAAAACCUGGCCUCUGGAUGCCACGUGAUCUCAUUUUCCGUUAUGUUCCCUUUCAUCCAGAUCUGUACCUCGCAGGCUUUUUCAGGGCUAACCCGGAGAGAGAGAGGGGGAAGGAGGGGGAGAGAGAAGAAACUCAGCUUUUCGAUUGGCUCCUGAACUGUUUUCCUUAGAUGCUGGACAGAGGCUACCUUGUUCUGGUUCAACAGUGUAACUAAGCAGUGAUGGGUAAAGGAAAAUACAUUCCUCCGCAGAUGUGAUUUCACAUAUGCUUUUCAAGCACACUCCUCAUUCAAGAUGUUAGUGUAAACCAUCAGCAGCAGGAAAGGACUGGGGUGCAGGACAACACUGGCCCACUCAGGCUUCUGGUUUUCAGCGCUGGGACCCUCCUUCACCUCAGGAGUCAGGCCAUUGCCUCAGCACUGAGACUGGGUGUGACCCAAAGCACUUCACAAAGACAAGUGACCUCAGAGAGCUGAGGGGAAAAGAUUGUCUUCCUGCCUUUUGAGUUUCAAAAGCCUAGACCUUUAUGGGAAUAAAAAGGCCUUUGGCUUUAAAAGAUUUGGGAGACCGUUGGGUGGGUGACAGCAAGACUCCUCCUUCUCCUCCACAGCCCAUUGAUGGAAGACUCCUCCCACUGGGGUGGAAGAGAGAGGGACGAUGCAAAGGCUGAUAUUUGCAGGUCUCUGGAAGAGAUCCUGCUCUCCAGGUGGAGUCCUGGGAGGUCUGUGCCAUAGUUUCCAGGAAAAUCCCUAGAAAAAAAUGGCCAGACUCCUAAAAAUAGAUGAAUAAGGGAGGGGUAUCUAGGAAGAUGAGGCCUUAGAUGGCCUCUAGAAACUUCAGUGCAGGUAGCCUAGCCGAAAACCUGAAGCCGGUCCCUUUGUGUUGGAGACAUGGUAUAUAUCACUCAGAAGAUGGGAACAUUCCUGCAGCGUCCUGUGUGGUCCAACAACUGUGGGCCUAGUGCAACAAUGGACAUCACAGUGGGCAAUGUGUAGACAAGUGACCCUUUUGUAAAGCCCUGGAAUUAGGACCCCGAGCCCAAAGUGUGAGGACCCCUAAUUGGGCCACGAUUAUUUUUCCCACUUCCCCACCAGUUUGACAGCUUCAGAGAUAUGUUUCUGAGGACAUUUAGAUAGUGAUGCAUCCUAAAAGAAUACAAAAUCGUGUGUACAUCAUUGAGUCUGUGUUAUCACCGCUGAUGGCGUCUCUUCAGAUGAAGUAUCUGUAAACCUAUAGACUAUAAGUACAAUCGGUUGAGGGUUGAUUAUCCUGAGGGCUUAUCCCACGUUCAGGGUGGCACUGCCCAUACGGUGGUGAGACAGUGAGUAGACACAACCACCGCCAAGCUGAGGAACCUCUUAGGCCCUCUGCUUCCCCGUGGGAUGAGGAGAAAGUCAACUAACGUUCCCAGAUUUUCAAGGAGAUGUUGAAAUUCCAAGAGAGGACAGUGACCAAAAGGGGCCUGGGUCUAGAGAGGAAGUUACAGAGGACAAUGGUAAGGUUGUCAGCAGGUGUCAAGAGAGCCAUAACCUGACGGAUCCCAGGAUCGGACGUCUGACACCCAGGCCACUGCCAUGUCCAACAGAAACUGCAGGGGCAGCCAGCCAUGCUCUCUUGGGAUAAGAUACCCCUUUCCUAAUGCCAGAGAGUACAUUAUUCCCCUUCCCCUCAGUCACUUAAUGUCACCUCCAAAAAGAAAGGCAGGGGAAAGUGGAGAGAAAAGAAACCCUGGGAAACAGAACAUUUACCUCACCAUGGAAAGCUCUGAACUUGACAGUGGUUGAGAAAGCAGCAUUUGAGUAUAUAUGAAAAAAAAAAAUGCCUGGAUUCGACCGAAUGCCAAAAUGGGAAAGAAUGAGUUAGCUGUUCUCAAGACCAAAGUUGAAUUCCGCUUUUGAAAGAAUUGUCACAGUUGCUCGCAUUCAAGUUCACAGUGGCCUGGUGUAGACUGGCAUUAUGUGUCCCAGGAGAGUACAAGAAAAGUAGUAUUACAAGAGUAUCCUAGAAGAACAAAGUGGGAAAGCAGCAAGAAGUUCUAGUCAUGGCCCGGCAUGGCCCGGCAUGGCCCGGCAUGUACUGUGAGAGGGGUUAUAGCAGAGAAACAUUGCUCUAAAGCCAGAAAGCCACCUAUUGAGAUUCAUUUCACUUUAGAAAAUUCACAAAGGUAGCAAUGCAGGAAGAGCAAAAGUGUGACGUGAGGGGUAGGAAGCCAGAAGGGUAGCUUGACAUUUACCAGUCCAGGAGAUAGAAGGGCAAAGUUGAGAAGGAGGGAUGGGUUUCAAGGAGAUUUUGGAGGUAAAAAGUAAGAGAACUUGGUGUUUGAUGCUUGGCUGAGGAGAGGGUGAAGGAGGGUGCAGGAUCCAGGGUCGCUUGUAGCCAGCUCCUUUGGACAAUUAAUGUGCCUGAGAGUAGCAUUUGCUAGUUUUACGAGGGAAGGCAGGGGCUGAGAGGAUAGCAGUUUUGGUGGUGAGGAGAAAUAAGGAAGGUAUUGAACUUGAAGAACCUGUGAAACAUUCACUGGGCUAGGUCUGCUAGUCGGGAAGUGUCCACAGAGAUCUAGAAAGGAAUAAGUAUUUGGGAGUCUCCAACAUACAGAUGGUAGCUGAAGUCAUGCUAUGUGUGAGAUUGCCCAGAGGCCAGGCAUAGAGUGAAAAGAGAAAAAGGGCCCAGAGGCAGAGGAUAGGGAGGAUGGGUGUUGGUCAGAGUAAGAGGAGCCCCUGGUGAGCUCUGGCCAUGAGCAGCCAGAGGGCUGGGACGUGAGCCGAGAGAGAAUAGGUUCAGGGAAAUGAAUGGAGGAGUGGCCAGUUGGGUCAGAUUCCCAGAGGAGUCUGGUAAGCUGGCAGCUUUAGAGUCAAAAGUCUCCGAGUUCCAGCGUUUCUGCAUUUCCUCUCUCUUCUAUGGUUGCAUGAUUCUAGAUGAGCUCAGGGUUGUUGUAGACUGCCUUACUGAACCGCCAGCCAAGAUGGGAUUUUGUUUUUGUUUUUCUCCUACUGUUUCCCUGAUUUUGAUAAGAACAGAUAAAUAAACCUGACAGUGACUGUAGAAUGGCAAGAACUAUGUGGGGGGCAACUCCAGCCUUCUGGGCAGAUCCCAGCCCUGCUGUUCCUGUGAGACUUUCACUUUUUCAGCAUCUCCUUUGAACUCUAGGUGCUGUAAUCUCCCAAGAGUCACUUAAACCUUUUACAGGACUAUGGCCAACAUACAAAAUUGUCUAAGUAGCCUGAGAAUUAUUCCAGGGCUACAGUGUACCCUUUUCUUAUAGUGGAUCCCAGACAGGAUAGAUCCACACUUUGGAUUGUUUCCAAACCUUCUCCGUGGCCAUUCCUCUCCAUAGGAGUUGGAUAGCACUCAGUGAUAAUCUUACUCUGGUUUCUAGACUUGUAUAAAUCUCUGUCCCCUUUUUAUCCUACUGCAUGGGUCACUUGAAGUAUGCCCAAUCACUUUGGUUUUUUUUGCUCACAAAUGGAAAUAAAAUGGAUUAAUGAAACUCCCCCCGCCCCCAUGCAUUUCUCCUCUGAGAUAGGUAUUUGGAAAGGUCUCCAAGGUUUCCAUCCUCCCUGCUGGUCUCCUCCAGUCCUACUCAGAUGUAGACAGGAGACCCCCAAGCUGUGAGUUCAGCUCCAUACCAUUCCUGAUCACUUCAGCUCCCUAAACAUAUUUGAUGUGUGUCCAGUGCAUUCUGGGAUACCCAAUUGGUCCACUAAGUCUUACUUUAAUCCCAGCACGGUGACCUGUCUACAUCUUAUUUUCCUGCUGUGCUAUAAUUAGCUAUACACUAGGAUGGGAAUUUGUGCCAACCAAAUUUGUACUCCCCUUGUCCCAUAGCCUCACCUAUUCAUAGCCACCUCCUUUUUAUUCUCAAGGGACUCUCAAGAGGUAUUGAGCCCAGCACGCCUCUCCUAUAUAUCAUCUAAUGGUUUAUCCAUUCAACAAACAUUUUUUGUGCCAGAUACUGGACUAUAAUGAAUUAAAACUCAGUCUUUGCCCUCAUGGGACUUGCAGCCUCCCCAGGUAUACAGACAAGGGAAUUGAUAUGACAAUGCCAUGAUAAAUGCUAGGUUGUGGUGGAAAAGGUGCAUAACCUGGCAGUCAAAGUCGAGAAGUUUUCUCUUGAAGGAUAUCUAUGUUGAAUAGUGAAGAAUUGUAAGGUCAAAGGGGAAGAGAAAGCAGGGAAUGGCAUUCCAAAAGGAAUAGACACCAGGUUGAGGAAGUCCGCAUGAUCCAUCAGAAGAACCCAGGUUUUAGGCUGUGUGAUAACCCGGGGUUAGAGCAGAGAUCAGGGGCACAUGGUGAAAGCCUGGGCCUGUCAGAAGAAUCUUGGACUUUAUCCAGUAGGCAAUGAGGACCGGUGAAAAAGAUUUAUCAGUGGAAUAACAGGAUGAGGCUAUCUUCUAGAAGAUCUUUGGAAGGCCUUGACUUACUUUAAUCAAUGGGCAUGGGCAGGGAAGAGCAUGCUGUGGAGAGGACCGUCAAAUCAUCUCUCUGGAAUGUCAUGACAUGGACAUCAUUUUUUUCAAAAAAGAAAUGUACCUGCACAUGUGGAAGAGAUUAGAUUUUGGAUGCUUACACUUGAAAAUGAAGUAGCUAGUUUUCAUUCUCCUAGUUGGAAAUGGCGUGUGUUCUGAUUUAUUUUUGCUAGUCACUGGUGCUCACUGUCCUUCAUCUCGAAACAUUUGUAUGCAUCCCUUGAUAAGCCUUCUUCAAAUCCUCAUUAUGGAAAUCUAAUGGUCAUUAAUUUCUUACUUUGAAAUUUUCCAGUUUUUGACGCUGACUCGGGCCUCGGAUGGAUUGGAACAAAUCCAUCUUACACAGCCAUAGGGGCAGUACCCAGGAAAAGAAUACCAGAAAUCUCAAUCCACCUUGACCCCCAGCUUUGUGCAUUUGGUAGAGGGUUGUGAGGAUGUUUACGGUGGCUUGAGCGAACCCUUAUUUAGUAAUGGGACUGCUUUCCUCAGCUGCCCAUGCCAUAUCCUUCAUCAGGAAACACUUCUCCCCACAACAUGGUAGAGAUCAGUGCUGAACCUAUGAUGCACAGGGUCUUGUAGGACGUGCUAGGUACAGGUACCAGCAUGUAAGGAGCUACUGUCAAAGAAGCAGCCCUUGUCAGAGCAUCAGAGGGGGGAUGUCCCUGAAUGUUAAAACACACAUUUGGUUGGUCUCCCAAAUAAACCUGUUCUGUGAGGUGGAAGAACCACUUCAACCGGAGGAGAUGAUACAGAAAGCCCCAAGCUCAAGCUCAAGUGGUUUGUGAAAAAGAAAUACGUCCAUAUUCCCAUCUCCUGGCAGAAGAUGUUAAAGACCGUUUCUUUAAAAGUGAUAUUUCAAACGUCUAUCGUUUUUAAGAACUGAAGCCUUAACCCUUGAAGGUGGUGUGGAACAAGAAAGUAUUCAAUAGGAUGAAAAUAAAUGAAGCACAACAAAGCAUUUCAGCCUUCAGUGAUAACCUUGGGCAAAUCCAGACCACUCAGUUCUGACAUUCUUCUCCCGCUAAACCAUGUGGAAUCAACAGUAAAGAGUUCUCUCGCACAAGUCCAGGAAUGCCAUUGGGCAAACCAAUUGCAAAAGAAGUUUUUAUCUAAAUCUGAAAGAGGUGAAACAAAUGGAAGAAACCAAUGAUUCUCUUUUGUUUGAUGAAAAUGAACACCCUUUACGGAUAUUAAUGAAACUAUUAGAUGUGACAGUACGGUCCUUUGGACUACAGCGAAGGCAUGGAAAGACUUUAGCAGCCUGAGGUUAGCCAACUAGGACAACAAUUCCGCUUGUGUGCUCCUGGGGACGAUCACUAGAACGUGUGAUGGCACUAUCCAGAAGAUUUCACAUGCCAUUGACAAAGAGUUAAGAAGCACGCCUGACAGGGGAGGAAGGCUGAGUGGCACUGACUUGCCACCUGAGGAAAUGCCCGCAUGCUGGAUAGUGGUGGUACAGCUGGGGGACAUGGUGAGAAGGAAAGGAGGUGGUUCAGGAGCGGGGGAGAGGUGGAGGAGAGUGAAGGGAAAGGAUGGGAUUUGCAAAGACGAGGGAAGGGUGUGGCAGAAGGAGAGCUUCUGAGGGUAGCGGAGUGGAGGCCAUGGUGGAAGUGAGGACUAUUGAGGUGCAUAUGGAGAAGGUGGAGGUGAUGGUGAAUAUAUAAUUGUUUGAAAAAGAACUUCACAAAUUAGAUGCUUAUUCUUGAGAGACACUUCAGGCAUAAUAUCCUAAAUAACAGGCAUGAAUGUCAUCUUUGAAGUAACCACUUCUUAUUCUUGAGUCUGAUUAAUAGGUGAGAGUGCUGUUUUGUACUAAAAAUUGUGCUUUUAGGAGAAGCGAUUUUUUUCCCUCCUACUUCACGUAUCCUGAGCAUGACAGGUCUUUUUAAGCCAAAAAAAAAAAAAAACCCAAAAAACAAAACAAAACAAAAAAACCCCACUAAUAUUUUAAACAAAAACAACUUUUAAAUAAAACAUAUAUCACCAGCAAACAUAAGAAAUGGAAAGUAUGGUGUCAUAAUUGUAGACUAUAAUCUAUAUUCCGUUUGAAUACGUAACUCUGAAUCAAUUACUCCACUUACAAUGCAAAGAAAUAUCAACUAGUAGCCUCAUUCAAAAUCGGUAGCCUGAUCAGUGCAAUAUUUUUUUAAAGUGGUUAAGUAAAUUAAAAAUUCUUAAUCCUCUCAACCUGUACGCAGGUUGAUUAAGGUUUCCUCGGGAACUGAGGUCAGGUUACAGGGGGCAGAUGUUCCCCUGUAGCUAACAGCUUCUAAAUAAAGCCUCCCUGGGCAGCACGAAAAAGGAAAUAUUUCUUAGAUGCUGCUGGCUUAGCCACGGGCAAAAUUAGGAUGUCAAAAGAGGCAACAGCUGGUCUCUCUCCCUGUUUUCCACCACGUAGGGACCUCCAGCCCCCAGAACACUGCCUAGACUGUAGCCUUACUCAAAUCUGAUACGCAAGGAAGGAAGGAAGGAAGUGAAUGGCGAAGUUGGUGAGCAUUACCAAGCUCCCAGAGCCCAUGGGCCAGCAGUGGAGACAGAAUAGCACAGAAAACAAUGGAUAAUAGAACAGAAAAUUAAAAUCGAAAAUAAAACACCAAAGGAAAGUGUUUGGCAAGAAGGACAGCAUGCUGGAGGCACCUCAGGGCUCUUGCCCACAUUUCCCCUUUUCUGUGUUUUCCUUUUUUUCCCAUCCUACCUGUAUCUGUAUUUCAUUCAUUCAACAAGAAUUCUUUGGACACCUGUAACACACACACCAGUAGUGAAUGAAAUAUGCCAGGUUCUACCCUCAGAGAGCUUACAUUCCAGUAGAGAGACUGGAAAUACAUGGCUGUCAAAGAUAAUAAAUGCUAUUGAGGCCAUAACCUAAGAUAACAUGGCAGUGAUGGGAAUUGGAGGACCAAUUCAUAUAGGAUGGUCAAGGAAAGCGUCUCUGAGGAAGUGACACUGGCCUUCUGCCCACUACCAGAAUGGAAAUUGGCCUUUCCCCAGGCAGUACUAUCACAGAGAGUGACUUUCAAACUGAAAAUAUCCCCAAGAAAGCAGAAAAAAGACAUCUCACUAUAGAAGUAGUAAGACAACUCCUAGCAGCUAAUUAUUUUAAAUCCCUGCUCAGAAGAGCUAAAAACAUGAGGAGAAUUGUACACAUAAUCCUGGAAACUGAGUAAUCUUUGAGGAAUUAUGGAGAAUAAGAGGGGAGCCAAAAAGAAUGCUGAUUAUUCACAGAAGGAAAGAAAAUGAGGAUUUGGGCCCAGAUCGUUCAGCUUCAUGUGAAUUCUCAGCAAAAUGCAAGACUGGCUUUGAAAGAACUGGUGCCUACGUCCUCAAGGGCCCCCUCUGUUCACCCAGCAUGCCCAUGGCUUGACGUCGCGCUGCAUUUCCCAAAUAGACCCUGCUGGAUGCUAUUCGCCUGGAUGUUCAGAGCAUGUUAUGCCCGCAUAGAAACCUGAGUUCAUCAUACCCACACCCAUAUGUCCCUCUUUCUCUCCUUUUAACUUAAUUUACUCACAUUCAUUCAUUGACCCAUUCAUUUCACACUUAGUGAGUACUAAAAUGGCAGUCAAGUUGCUACAUGCUCUUGAUGCAAAGAAGAAUGCACAGUACGGUGUGGCCCCCAACCAACUUCAGAGUUAGGCAGUGGGAACACCAGCCAACCUAGGGACUUCCAGUGAACUGACCAUGUGCAUGUGGACAAACUGCUUGCCCAUGCUGUACCUCCAUUUCCUCAUCUGUAAAAAUAGGGGUGAUGGCAUAGGCUUGGCGGUAGAACACGUGCGGAAGGAGGGAAGGGCAAAGGGAGGAAAGGAAGAAGGGAGGUGGGGGAGAGGGGAGAGUGGGAAGACAGAGGGAGGGAGGGAGGGAGGAAGAAUUGGCACUUACCUCAUUUGUGAGGAUUAAAUGGAACACAAGCAUUUCACACAGUGUCUGACACGUGGCAAUAUCUAUAAAUACCAGCCCUCAUUUCAAGGGUCUCACCAUCUAGGGAGAAAAUAGGAACACAGUUCAGACAGUAUUAAUAGUUAACACUUAUUGAGUGCUUAUAAUGUGCCUGGCACUGUUCUAAACACUUGCUGCAUCCUCAGCACUGUGAGUUGGGGGUCCUGUUAGUAGUACUUAGUAUCCUGACUCCAUAUUUGAGAACCACAAGCGUGAAACGAUUAAGCAACUGGCCCAACGUUGCACAAGGAGUGAGUGGGGAGCAGAGCUGGUAUUCAAACUCAGGCACUUUGGCUCCAAUCGCUACAAUCUACUGCCUCACACGAGUAUGAGCUCAUGCAGUAACCGUGACGUGCACAUGCUAUUUAUGGGGGACUUGCAGUGCAGUAACGGGGCAGUGUGGCUGAGGAGCUGGUCUGGGGCAGAAGGACUCCUGCAUUUGGGGAUUCCAGGAUGCCCGUGAGGAGUCAGCCCCGGGAAAAGGAGGCAGAGAGCACCACAUAGAAGACAACACGAGUAGGGUUCUGUGUCGCUGGGGCGAGAAUGGCAGUGCAGGUGGUGCCACAUUGCACACCAUGCUAGGGGCUUGGACUUUAUCCUCUAAGCAAUGGGGAGUCACAGAGAAGAAGGGCGAUGGGACUCGCUCUGCAGAAAGAUUGCUCUGGAGGCUGAACGGAUGCAAGGAAUAUAUGACUGUGGAGGAGGGAGGUCAGUGAGAGGCUGCUGCUGGGGUCUCUGAGAUAGUGGACAAAGGUAGGGGCAGAUUCAUGACCUAUUUAGAAGAUACCAUUGGGAAAACAUGCUUGUUGAAUGAAAAGGCUGAAGGAGGAAGAGGGGACGAGGAGGGCUUUAAGACUUUUGACUUGGGAGCUGGACGGACGGUGUAUCAUCUGUUGGGCAGGAAAUGUAGAGAGGAACAUCAGCGUAAAGAUCUCGGGAGCACGAAGUUUCCUGUGUCCCAAAGUCAGGGAGUUCCCCUUCCCCUUUUAUAAAACUUCCUUUUAUAAUAAUAAUAAACUUAAAAUAUAUGGAAAAGAAGUACAAUAAGGACCCAUCACCUAGAUACAAUAAUUCUUCACAAAUUGAGUUUGCCACAUCUGCUUCAUAUGCACAUUAUAUAUAUUUGUAUAGUUCUACACCAAUCUAUUUUGAUUUUUAUUACUGUCAAAUCAUUUUAAAUAAACUACAGACAUCAUUACGUUUACCCCUAAACACUUUUGCCUAUAUCACCAAAAAAUAUUUAGCUGAAUGAUGACAAUACCAUUGUCACACCUCAAAAAAUUAGUUACCUAAUAUCAUCAUCUCAUAAUGAAUCUACAUGAAAAUUCCCCUAAUAAUUUCUGGAAUUAUUUUAUAGAUUAUUUUUUCAAAACAGGAUUAAAGUAAUGACCCCAUAUGGCUUUUGCUAUGUCUUUUAAGUCUCUUCAAAUCUGUAACCAUCCUCCUCACAUUUUUCAUGACAUUGACUUGUUAAUAAGACAAAAGCCAGGUGUCUGAUAGGAUGCCUCAUACUCUGGACUUGUCUGCUGGUUUCAUCACUCUGUCUUUUAAUUUGUUCCUCUACUCCCUACAUUUCCAGUGAACCAAGUUUAACAUUUUGAUGAGCAUGCCAUUGCUGAUGCCAUAUCCCUUCACAUGCCAUUUCACAUCCCAUCAGUGUCAAGAUAUGGUUUCAAAAUACCAUCCUUAACAUGCUACUAACUAAAACAAAACUUGACUGAUUCCAAGUCUGGGAUGGGGAACAAAGAAGGUGAGCCUUGUUCUGGAAGGCACAGAAGCACCCAGAUACUAAUGGGUCAUGUCCGAAAAAAUAAAUAACCAAGCUAAUGGGUCCCACUUGUCAGAGGGGCCUUAUUUGAUACUUUGAGCAUCAGAAAGAAUAACUGGGAUUGAUUAAAAUACAUUGAAUGUAUAAAUCUGUAUAGUACUCAAUAAUCAGUGAUAAUACUCUAAAAAAUAACAAAUCCUGGGUCACUUAAAGAUUCAGGAGUGGUUCAGACACUGCUGAGGCAGUUUCUCUGGCUGGUGUCACAAUUGGAUCCACACGUCUGUGUCUUGAGUCUACAGUAUGCCAGCCUUCACCUAAAUUUGGACUGUGACCUCACCUGUCCCUUACGUGUGCCUGGAACAAUUGGUAAAGGUCAUGGGCACUGAAACUAGAUUCCCCCCCCGCCCCGACCCCAGGAAUUACUUAAGUCUCAUCAAAAAAGAUAACCUACCAAGCAUCACAUUCUCAUUUUAAAGUAAAAUUGACAUCGUAUCCCCAAACUCACCUAGUGCUGCACAAUUCUUGUCACUAUUAAAAACCAAAAACAACAACAAAGAAUUAAUAAAUGUGCCUUACUAGUAAAUAUUCUUCUUCUGGCUCUGGCCCCACCCUAGGUAUUUUUCUAAAGUUGACUUCUGUACAAUAACAAUAAGUAGGAGUUUUUCUUUAAUAUUUAUGAGAACUGGAUUAAUUUCCUUCAUGUGAACAGCCGCCAAAAACACCAAACAAAAUUCUACUUCAGAGCUUAAUAAAGUAUACAUUUGUUCAUUAAAGGUCACCUACUUCAGACAAACGUUUUCUUUUUACACGUUAACAUAGUAAACUAACAUCUAAUCUGUGGUACCAAAUGAAACAGAAAUAGUAAAACAUCACAAGGAUGAAGGAAACAAUCUUUGUAAAAAUAUACGCAAGAAGAUAGAGUUCAAAAAGGAACAUUCAAUAUCUUUUUUGUUCUUAAUGCAGAAAAUAUGUCAGAUAAGGACUUCUCCAACAAGUUCUGUUUGGAUCUUAAUAGAAUCUUAAUUCUCCCCUCUGUUUACCAACAAUUGGAAGGCCUUAUUUUGGGCCCUUCUUGCCUCCUUUUCACCGUACAGACAUUUGUUCAAAGGCCUGCCCAGUCAUUCCUGUAGAUUCUAUAGGAAUGGUAUCUUACAUCCUAUUCUAAAACACAAUUUUAGUCAUGUUUUAGAAAGCCACCCUCCUACCUUCUCCCCUAACUCUUGUGCUCGCUCUCUCUCUCUCUCUUUCUCUCUCUUUGUCUUAUACUAGAAUAGAUUUUUAGCUGGGAAACAAUUUUUAAAGUUGAUCCCAUUAGCCAUGAUGUUGAGGCAGGGGUUUUUCAAACACGCUUCAGAAAAGCACAGUUUGUAUUCAUCUCCAGGGCUGAGAUUAAGAAACCAUUCCCUGGCGUAUCCCUCAUUUCAGCAUUGGCUUAAAGUUAGAAUAGUUUUACUGUGCAGACAUCAGGUAUUAUAUUCAAAUAUUAAGCAUUAGAAGUUUUCCUGGCUGUGGAUAGAAACAGAGAGCAGGGGCAUUGGGCAAGCCACAAAACCAGCCAAAAAGGCUUGUAACUCAACUACAUCAUCUGCCACAGGGAAAGUGAUUUCAGCUUGGGUUUCAAAAAGGCCUAGGAGAUGCUUUCUAAAAAUUCGUCUCUACUUGGCAUAAACCCCUUUUUUUUUUUUCUGCACAAAUAUUCGACUCUCAUGAAGGGGAAGACAUAGAACCUAAAAAAUGGGGAUGGUCUUCUGUUGUGUGCACUCUCAGAGUUGUAAUGGGAUCCUGCAACAGCAAAGCAAUUGUCAUUUCACUUUGGCUACAGUUCUUUCCACACGGAAGAGCUCUUCCUGAGAGAUGAAAAACUUCACCCCUGUGUAUCCCCAAAAGACACCUUAGAGUCUGGUGUAGAAGUCCAUGAUGAGUCCCUGCUAGCAGGAAACUACUCUCCACUAAUGUUUAGAAUUACUGCACAAUAUUUUAAGCACCAGGCAAAUGGACUGUCGGUCUCAAUCUUGGUCUCCAUGCCACCUGCCAAUGCAUUCCCAGUUAAGAAUCACUCAUCAUUUUUUGAAUGAACCCUCAAUAAAAAGUCAACUUGCUAAUAGAGGUGUAACUUGUUAACUCUGUAAGUUGUUAAUGCUGCAUUUGGCUGAGUCGGCGCUUCCUCCAGAAUUAACUGGGCUGCUCUCCCAUAGUUAAUCUGUACCUGAUGUGCCUCCCAGUCUUGGUACUGAUCGCUCAACAUUAACUUGAAUAGCUGGGCUUGUCAAUUAGUCAAGGAAAACCAAGGGACGACACCAACAUACAGUAAACAUUGCGGUGGAAGGAGGGAAGACUUUGUCUUUGUACCACAUUUUCAGAGGCAGAGAGGUGAGCCAUGAUUCUACCGGCUAUUUAAUCAACAGAGCUGUAUUAAUUGACAAUUAAUAUAAAAGCUCCGGGGCCUCCAUUGUAUUUCUUAUCAGGAGAAUUAAGCUCUUGAUUUCUUCUCACCUCCUCACCAACUGUAUUGAUAGGUACGGCUGUAAACAGAGCCCCUGACUAUGAACGAAGUUGUGAUUCAGCCACCAGGAGACCCUUAGGACAAGCCUUCUUUCUCAAGGCGUCUCUUUCAUCACAAAGAGAACAUUCUGAAUGAAUCGUAGUGGCUUAGACAGUGUGACAAGUAGUUGACAAGUAACUGAAGUUGUCCUUACAUACAGCUUCUACAGUUGCUACUGCAAAUUAUAUUUGCAAUAAUCUUUUAGUAAGGCCCCUAAAAAAUGGAUUUGCUUCUGAGACAAACUUUCUUGGCAAGAAAUUGAAUUCAGUAAAUUGGCUACCCAAAAUGAGAUUCCCACCCAAAUCACAGGCAAAGGUAGUAUUAUCCCCAUUUAAUAAACGAGUUCCUCUAUCGAGCUAGUAGGUUCAUGGCCACAGAAACCUUCUAAAAUCUGACACCAUUACUUUGGAAACUAGUUUCUUGAGUUCCAUCUCUUCUGUGCAAGGAGUUCUCUCCAAACCACUGUGAAGGCAUCCUUCCUUGCUGAGGUUCCAGCAGCCGUGGGUUCGCUGUAGUCUCUCCUGUGGAAUUUUUUCUUACAACUAGGUGAUGGCUUUGGCUUACCAGAAGUGUGGGGAAAAGUUGCCAGAAUACAAGCGACCUUGGAAGAACAGCUCACAGACUCAAUUACUUUCUUUGUAGAGACUUGGUCAUAUUCCCUCUUCAAAUCUGUUUUAGGAUAAGACUGGGGGUAUUAAUAUUUCUGCCGGCUUCAAGUUUUUCAUCUUCAUCAGUUACUGUGUCUUCAGUAUCCAGCAACCUCCCAUGGCAACUCUCCAGUUGCCUGACCCAUUGCUUCACAAAGUUCUCUCAUGCCAGAUGAGAAAGGCCACCAGAGCACAGAGCCCUCACAUUCUCCUGACCAUCAAGAUCACUGUCACUGGGAGCCAGCAAAGAGUAUUGCCCCAGUCAGGCUUUGCUUUCUUACUGGACAAUCUCCAUCAUCAUUACGCUUUUGCCUGUUUCUUUCCUCAGUGAACUGAAACUCCUCAAGCCUCUAGAAUCUAGCCAGGGAAGCUCAGGGCAGCCUGACCCACAGCUGGAAGGACACCUCAACCCAUGUGCCUCAGGGGGCGCUCAGACAAAUGUGGAGUGCACCCAUCUCAGACCUGCUCAUCCUCCAGUCCGUGAGCUGCAGCCGCACUGACUGUCCAGUCCCGAUCCCAAAACAUGUGUUUUUAUUUGACUAUAAUCACCCUGUUCGUGUUCUCUCGCAGAUGGGGUUUCUACCAAUUGCAUAAGAAUGGUAAAUAAGAAAAUUUCUUAACUUUUAUAAGAGAAUGUCAACCCUAUCUCUGCCUCUUCUAGCUUAAAAACACAAAUGCAUCUUUAGCCAUAUGGAGUAGCCUACACACCAGAUCCUUAUAUAGGAGGAUUAUUACUAUUUGCUGUCCACCACCAUCAAAUGCUCCACUCGGAAAACUGACAUUCAAUGUAAAGAAGCUGGCAUAAGACAACAACUCUUAAUUUGGCUAUACAUAGAACCACUUGAGAGAAUUUUAAUUAAAAAUACAAAUUCCCUGUACCCCACCCUAGAAGUUUCUGAUUUGGUAGGCAGAGAGUUUGGGAACAGCUGGCUUUUAGAACCAGAAGUAUAUCUCUAUCUACAUCUUUAGCUAUGCCCUCCUAUGGUGGGAUCAUUAUUAAAGUGCUAUGUUUGUUUUCCGUUAGUUUUUCUCCCAUGCUAAGCUCUCCAACUCCAAAAAGGUAAAGUGUUGUACUGGUUUGCCCCGCUAAGUUUUUACUGGGGUUGAAAGCAGAAAUGGCCUGAAGUCAAACCCUAUCUUUUGUGAAAGCCUAAAUCCACUGAAGAAAUGUCAUUAGCUACUCCAGAGGAAGAUGAUGAAGCAAAGUCAUACGGACUAAAAAUGAUCCUACCGUGGUAGAGAACUAUGCUGAACCGCAUAGGACAUCUCUGGGAGGGAGAGUGACAGGGUCUCAGUAAAGAGAGGCUGUAGGCAUAUAUGUAGGCAGCACCUAACCUAGACCGUGGGAUUCCAACAUUGACAAAGGUUUGCGUCCUCAGUGAGCAGCGUGGAAGUGUACUAGUCAGCGUUCACACAGAGAAGCAGAAACAGUAGGAGAUUAAAAUAUAUGGACUUAUUAAAGGGAAUUGGCUUAAGCACUCAUGGGAGUUUACUAAGCAGUCCCAGCAAAGUUGUCUCCACAUCUAAUGCUCAGGCUGGCAAUUAGGAAGAAAGGUCACGAACAGGCCGGAACCCCAGAAGCAUGAGCUGGAAUGCCAAGAGGCUAGGCUAAUGCUCAUCAGUUCUUGUUGCCUCUGACCUUGGUAACAAGAGUAUCUUGUAGAGGCCAAGAUCCUUUGUUGAGGACCUAGCCACACAUACACCUGAGUAGGAGUCAGAAAAACUGAAAGAAGAUCCAGUCGGGGAAGAGACAACAAUGGCUGGCCAAGUUGCUGCUUCAUGCCAGUAAAAUGAAUCAAAAGAUCAACAACGGCGUGUACCGCAAAAUGGCCGCUGCCUUCCUUACAUCCUCCAACUGUCAAGAGAAUCUCUCCGGUAGCCCAUGCUAACAGGAAACACAGAGGAAAGGGAAUUCUGGGAAAUGCAGUUCAGCUUAGCCAAGUGGGCACAUGGCAAAACCAUCACAGAAAGAAUCAGAGGCUCUGGCUAUGGCAAGGGAUCAGUGUGGAUAAAAAGACACAAUGGCUACCCUGAACAUUCUGUUUUGUGUAAGGGGGUAAGAGAACCCUUGCACGAUCCUGCAGGGAACCCCAAUAAUUAUGAGCAUUAAGUUUUUGCCUUAUAGGAGAGGGCUAAGUUAGAAUUAUUUUGGUUUAAAGGAGAUAAAGUAAUGUGAUGAAAGUGAUGAAAUGUAAUCCAGUGAGGCCUUCAGAAAUUUAUGUGUUUGGACCAUCUUAGAUUAGCUCCCUCCCGAAACUGUCUUCAUUAUGAAUUCACUUAAUAUAACAUUUUAUUAUCAGUCAUUAGAAGAAACACAGUAUGAAUGCCACUGCUAUAUUUGUUAUUGAAUGUAUACAUCACUAAUAUCAAGGGCAUUAUUUAGUUUGCUGUCUCCUAUAUAAGAUCUAUGUAGAAAAUCAAAAUUGCAGUGUCCCAAAGUUGCCAAAAACUGACAUAGGCAAGCAGUGCAUGGGCCAUUUUUGUUCAGAAACCUAUUCCAGAGGAUUUCUGAGCUGUCUCCUGAUAUUUAAGUUGAAACAGUGUGGUGUUCUAACAUCAUUAGGACAUCUUGGAGACCCUGAUUUCCUUUCCCACAAUAAUAGCUACUCAUAACAAUCUUUGUAAUGCCUUAAAUGUGGCAAAGUUUCUUCCCUAGCCAAGACCUGCAUAAUUGUCUUAUCAAUGGCUGGGACCCUUGGCCCAUCCUGCCCCAGAGUCUGUAACUGCAUUCUUGACCUCACCCAGAGAGCUUCCGCAUAAACCACUCAAAGCGUUGAAAGUCAACUGACUUUUUUAAAGAAUAUCAUGGGCCCAGGUUCUCUUGAAAAUGCUUUCAUUUUGUCAAAUUCUAUAAAAAUCCCUCUCUCUAAUCCCAAAAGAACUAGCAAGUAUAUAUUUUCUGCCUCUGAUAUCAACUGCUUUAUCGCAUCACUGUCAACUGAUCCUUCCUAUCAUCUGACAAUGUAGUUUCCCCUGUAAUUGUCUGGGGAUAAAGCAGAGGCUCAGCCCAUAAAACCUCUGGAUUUUGUAAAGACUCAGCCUAAACUGUGCUUGGUAAAGACCAUCUUCUGUCUCAGAGCCUUUGAUCUCUUCGGGGUUGAGAACAUAAGAGUUGGAAGUGUAAGAACUUGGGACCUGACAGACCAGAGGCUGGAUUUGCACUCUGUCCUUAACUAAUACAAUAGUGUGACCUUAAGCAAGUCACUAAGUUUGCCGAAGAAGCUUCUUCACCUGUAAAAGGGAAAUUUUGUUAUGUGUUUCAUAGGCAGAGUAUCCCAAUUACAUAAAAUACCUACCUACCUCGUGGGCACUCAUUCCAUCACAGCUGUGUUGAUGAUGACUGGAUUUGACACAGGACCACCUGUGCAUGUGCACAAGGUGACAGUGAUGUCUAAAGUAGUCGUCGAAUAUGAUACUUUAAGGAAAGCAAUGAAUAAAUAAUCUCCCAAGAAAUUCUACCAAGAAUGUAAAAAAGAGAAACAGAACCUAUUUUCUCAGGAAAGAAAGAGAGAAAGAAAGAGAGAAAGAAAGAAAGAAAAGAAAGAAAAAGAAAACAAAAAGAAACUAUGAAACUUUUUAGUGCCUGAAAGUGGAGAUACCAUGUGAGUGGUUAAUAUUUUAUAUAGCCUAUUCAGUAGCCUCUUUACUUCUUCAGUAUUUGAUGAGUACUGAUGAAUUUUUUUUUUGUAUUUGGUCAUUGUUGAUUGCGAUUUUGGGGGUAGGGAUGGCAAGGAGGGGGCUGACAGAAAAUAGAGAUUAUACUAAAUUUCCUUGCUUAAAGGUUCUUCCCACUUUAGUAACUGGCACUCCAAUGUAGAAAUGGCCACUACCCCCCGAAAAGAAUUACUGCCCUGACAGUCAGAAAUGGGUGAAGCUUGGGCUGUGCGGAUGACUAGGGCCCAGAAACCGCUGGAAGAUGACUCCUCAUUUGAACCCCAAGUGCGGUGGCCAAAGCUAUCGUAGGGCCCUAAAUUGUGCUCAUCACUGGAUUCUGCAGAGCCAGGCUUUUGGAAGCACCCUGGGCUAGCUUCAGGUUCUAGUAGCAAAGCCGUAAAACCCUUCCUGCAGGAAGAGAAAGGUGGGGCAUGAAGCUUCUACAUUGGGAGGAGAGAGAUAAAUUUGAAUGUUACCCAACUUCUGUGAUUGAGUUUAUUUCUGUCCAGGCACCAUGUCCUCCCAUGUGGGGUAGGUAGGGCAGAAGAAGAGGGUAAGACUAAAAGAUCGCUUUCGCUAAAAACCUUACAGGCUUUGAGGACUCAGGGGUGUCUCUUAUGCAGCUUAUGAACAGAGAGAAUGAAAUAGACAAGGGUGGAAGACCCCUUCCUUUUCUCAUUCGGACCAAGAAAGACAUAGUAACCUGAGAAAUGUCAUUUUUUCUGCAUGAACCCAGGCUUCAGAGAGAACAGUAGGAAAAAGCAUAUAUGAAUUGGCAACCCAGCUAAAUCUUGACCACAUUCAUUUUUUUUUUUAAUGUAGGAAGUACAGCUGCAAUGCUUACCAUUUUACUGGGUCCUGUUAGAAACCCUUUACAAAUAUUCCUUUAACUGUUCUAAUGACUCUGUGAAGUACAUAUUAAUCUCCUCUUCAAAUGGGGCUUUUUGGCCAUUUCAUAAUACUCCUAAUACUCAUUUCAUUGCAUAUUAGUAGCCGCUAUAGCACUGGGCCCUAUCAGUCAGAACAAAAAUGAGGGGAACAUUGAAUGCAGUAAGUCAUACAAACGUGAGACACAGCCCCAACGGUAUCCCGAAUAUAUCUGGGGAGAACUUGAAGGAGCGAGAUUAGCCUAUUCAUUUGUGUUAUGGGUCCUUGGGAUUUAAGAAACCCAGAUUUCAUCAUGUUGCCCGAAAACACGAUUAAACUUAAUAUCUUACCGUCAAUUCCAACAAUGCUUUAGAGCAAAGGUCACCAAGUCAGAUCUCUUCAAGGACCAGACAGGUGACGUAGGUGAAUGAGUCUACUGUGGUGUAGAAAUGCAGCGUCUGCUCCAUAGAAGUGAGGAAUCAGCUUCUCAGAUCCAACCAGUUUACUCAAAUUUUCCCUUUUUUCAAGAGACACUAGAAAUCCAUAUUUUAUGCUCAGUCUCCCCAUGUUGAAAUGCUUGCAACUAAUUCAUUUUUUCAUAACAUUGUGUAGUUUAACAAAGCACGUCUGCUGGUCUCUCCCACAUCUUGGGCGUCCACAGCCACAGAGGGAGUGUCCUUUUAAGAAACUGAGAUUCCUCUCACAGGCUCUGAUGUACAAGUCCUGCUCCCUCUGCUGAGCUGCAGUGGGCACAGAGAUCUCUUUUUUCCUCUCUGGAAUUUCUUUCAAAACAUUUUGAAAGGACUUCUUUAGAAGUGCCAGCCUUAUUUUUUCCUGUGGAGUCUGAGUGAGAGGAAAUAAGCAGUACAUUGCAUAACUGUUUCCCAGUCACUCCCUUGAACCAAUUGAAUCAAAAAGCAAGAUUGCUCUGAAGUCUACCCAAUGUGCCUGGUUCUUUGGUCGUCACCUAUUUCUCUGACAUUCUUUUUCUGCUUUGGAAACUAUCAUUAAAGGCCCAGAACAACCUAAUUUCAUGCUAGCUUCUGUUCCAUGAUGCUGCAUUUCUGGAGCUCCGAGGACUACUCAACUCAGUUCAGUGGCUCACCUCAAUCUUAGCUGCCGCACCAGUCGUCAUCAUCACAAGAGCUGGAACACGUCUGUCUUGUUCACUGCUACUAACCUAACCUUGGUCAGGCAUUCAACACAAACCCCUAGGUAGGCGCUAGUGAUCCAAAAAUUUAUUUUAGAAUGACUCAAUGUAGGAGUGAACAAAUUCUUUGACAUUUUGUUAUUUUAUGUAGUUGACCAGACCAUCUUUUUUUAAUCUCUCUGACGCCUUGACUUCUGGAACACAGUGCAUAUCUCCUUGCUUCUCACAGUGCUGGCUCCUCCCUCUCUGGCCUAUUUGCUCUCAGUUACCCUUUAGAAAGUAGCCAUUAGGCAAUUGGGGCUCUUAGAACUUUCUGUGUCCCUGCUGAGCCCACUUGCACAGCUGAAGGACCCCCACAAACUAGACUGAACCCAAAGAGCAAUGUCAGUAGGGCUCUGGGUAAAUAAACUUCCAAGAUGCUAGCCUGACUUAAGUUUCGUCUUUCUUUAGAGCAGGGCUUCCUAUGAUUUUUAAUAUACUAACAUGCUCUGAGAAUUUCUAACAGGGUUUUUAAAAAUUACUUAACUCUGAAAGUCUCCUUCUGAAUAUGUUAAAGGUCAAAUUUUCUGUGGAUCGCAUCCUGGAAGGCCACUUUAAAGAAAAAUAAACCAACUGAAUAAUCCUAGAUUGGGCUGUAUUUAGGACAGAAGACUAAGGGACUACUAAGGGUAGUUCAGUUGGUUGAGCAUCUGACUCUUGAUUUCAGCUCAGGUCACGAUCUCAUAGUUCAUGGGAUCGAGCCCUGUGUCGGGCUCCAUGCUGAACAUGAAGCCUGCUUGGGAUUCUCUCUCUCUCCCUCUCUCUCUGCCCCUCCCCCCAUCCACACACACACUCUCUCUCUCUUGCUCUCUCUCUAACAGUAAAAAACUUUAAAACACUAGAAGGACCAUGAGUGAAGGAUCUUACUUCUUGAACUUUAAAGGCCUUUAUAAGACCUCAGAAGGGAGUGUGAUCCCUUCAAGAAAUCUCUGAGUCACUGAGAUGUGCUGUGGCUUAGUCACUUGGUUCUAGUAAGCACAACAUCUGACGUAAUUCACGUCCUUGAGGAAUUCUUCCUUUUUGAUGCUGUGUGACUGGGUCUACCACAAAACCCCACAGGAAAGAGCUCAGUCGGUCUAGUCUUACGUAUAUAUUAUUGCUUUGAUGAUAUGGGAGGGAAGAGGUAUAGAGGAUGCAAAGCCUGAUAGAAUGUUCCGAACUUGACAGGUUUGUCAAGUCAUGGAGGAAGAAUGAGAUGUGAAAAGUCCCCAGACAAUAACCUUUGGAAAAACCAACAAUGAGCAGACAGAGAAAGAAGAGCCAAAAAUAUACUAUAGAGAAGCCAGAGGAGAAAGAAGAAAAUCAAGACACUGAAUUAGCAAUAGCAGUAACAGCGGCUAACAUUCAGUGAGCUUCUGUAUGUAUGCACGGCAAUCAUUCAGUGACCUUGACAUAAUGUUACCGACUCCUCACAAGAGCCCCUGAGUGAGCUCACCGAAGUUAAGGAAUUGCCCAAAGUCACACAGCUAGUAAGUGGUGGUAGAGUAGAAUAAGAAACAGUUUAUCCCUAGAGCCCAUAUGUAGAGAUGGGGAAGUUACCCCCCCAACCCUGCCCGCAAGGUGGAGGAAGAAAGAGUUUUAGGAAGAAGAGUAUGGUUAACAGGAAGAAGUGGAUUUCUUGCUGUCGUCAUGGUCCAGUGAAGUUUGCGCGGGAAGAGCACCGUGCUCUACGCAGUCAUUCAGGGACCUAGGCUCCUAGCAUGUGGGCGGUCCAUCUUUUAAGACCUCAGAGUCCUCUACCCAAUCCAUGACUCUUUAGACCAGGAAAGGGCUUCUGAGUGAAAGAUGGGGGAGGAAGACAUAAGUAAUGAAUAGGCUAGGAGUGAUAUACAUCACAUACAUCCACGUGUGCUCAGCUAUCACAUGUUCACACGACCCCGUUCUGACGAGAGGGGCAUUAUGGGAAAGAGAUGUGGUUCCAGCAAGAAAAGCAAGAGCACACCUUUAGCCUCUCUCUCUGAGCUCCUCUGCUACCAUUCUGUUCUUCCUCUGCUUACUAGCUACAUGGUAGAAUGAAGAGGUUUGGACACUUAGAGACCCUUGUUUCUUUUCCACUUUUACUUAAAAAAUGACCUUGACGUCCAAUCCUGGUAUAGGUUGCCAUCCUCUCCUGCCUCAUGUCGCCUGACUGGCCCAGAGUUGGCCUCUACCUACAGUGCUGGACUGCCUACUUCCAAGGAGACCGGUGGCCCUACGCUGUCCCUGAAAUAAGAGAAGUGAUUAUAGGAUCAAAGCAAAUACAGAGCAACAGAAAAUCCCUUGCACUAUGCUGACAGUUCCGGGGAAGGCUAUCACAUAGUAAAUGUCAAUGAGUAGGGCAGGCAGGAAACGGUGGGUCCCCUGGAGAAUACUUGCCCCUCCUAAACUCCUAGCUGAGUGUCAGUGCUUGGGAAUAGGGACCCCUUGUUGCCUGAUCUUCACAUUUUUCAAGAAAAGUCAGAAAUCUGGAUUUUUACUUGAAAACUCAGAAGUGAAAAUAAAAUGGUCAAACAAAAUAUCUGUGGGCCAGAUUCAGCCAACAAGCUAACCAUUUUCUGUCUCGGGAUUCUGCAGGGCAACUCUAGGGACUCAUAACCUCCUCACCCUUAUACCGCUCAUCGAGAUCUGAGGAGCUCAGUCUCUGGCACUCUUGAAUCACCAGCAUUCUAAGGAAGAAGGGAAUGGGGGCAGGGGGGAAAUGCAUUCAGAAGAAGCAGUUUUGACAAACCUGCCUUUGAAACAAAGGCAGGUGCUGGUACGCUGACGAUGUCCAAAAUGCCAGAAAGAGGAUGCCCCUUCUAGGUGCAUGCAGUCUAGAACAUUCCCAGGUUAAGCGAGAGAUUGGGCAUAAAGAAUCUCUUCCUCGGGGGUACCUCUGCCUCUCAUUAUACUUUGGAUCCUGGCAUGCUAUUGCCAAUCUCUGUCUUAUGUCAACAUUCUAGCAUACCUCGCUUUAUUCUGCACAACAGUGCGACUCUUGAGUCACUGUGAUCUCACCCAAGUACUAAGAGACGGUGAUCCGGACAUAAAUAAGUUACAGAAAGCCAAUAACGAUUUAUUGCCAUGUGGUAUUUACUGCAGCUAUGAUAUCCAGGUUUGCAAUCUUGACUUUUCUUCCUCCAGCUUAAAUCCCAGUUGAGAAAAAAACCUUGUGAUUAGGUCUGAAGAGGAAUUCGUCAGCAUGGCAAAGGGAAAGGCUCGAAAUAAUUCUAGUACUGAAUUAGAAUUAGAUGCAUUGGGGGCGCCUGGGUGGCUCAGUCGGUUAAGCGUCCGCCUUCGGCUCAGGUCAUGAUCUCGCGGCCCAUGAGUUCGAGCCCCGCGUCAGGCUCUGUGCUGACAGCUCAGAGCCUGGAGCCUGUUUCAGAUUCUGUGUCUCCCUCUUUCUCUGACCCUCCCCCAUACAUGCUCUGUCUCUCUCUGUCUCAAAAAUAAAUGUUAAAAGAAAAAUUUAAAAAAAAAGAAUUAGAUGCAUUGGUACUAAUGUGGGAACUUUUAAUACAUACGCACACAGACAUGGGAAUAACUAUAGAGGUUGUAUAUGUGUGUAUAUUAAUAUAUAUGUACGUAUACGUGUUUACAUACAUACAGGUUCAGCUUCGUGUGCUGAAGUGGCCGGGGGGCAAUGACAGCCCAGUAGAAAUGAGCAAAUUGAGUGCUCAAAUCAAACUUAGUUGCUAAAUGUCACUUUUCACUACAAGGAACCAGAGCUCCUCAGUGAAACGGCUGAUUCCCUAUCUGGUUUAGAAAGAACGCACCCCCUUUGUUAUUUCUUUCCAGAAUAUACAAACCUAUUCGAAAGAUCUUCCAGAACAAGAGGAAGAGCCAGCUUGAAGGGGCCCCCACAGACCGAAUCCAGAAAAAUUUUAGCCUUUAAAUACGUGAUGGACUGUCCAUAGCAACUGUGGAGGCCCCGCAUGGUUCUGCCAGUGCCUGAUAGAGAACUUGAGGCCAACAUUCAAUUUGAAAUAUGUGACGUAGGUGCCCAAACACUUUGGCAACAUAAAUAGUUGUAUUGUCAGUGAAAGAGGUUUUGGUAAGUACAGGUCACCUGACAGCCUAUCCAACAAGCAGAUUCCCAGCCGAAUAUAUAGCAGCCAUGGCUGACAGUUGUGCAGGCAGUUAGGGUGUAGAGAGAGAGCCAUACGCUCUCGACCUUUUUGAUACUAUGGUGCAAGACGAUGAUGACAAAGUAUGAUCUGUCACCAGUCCACAACAGAUGCAUCCCUAGCCUGUUGUUCAGUGCUCUCUCUGUCCUCAUUUGAAACUAUGGAAGAGGGGCACCCAGGUGGCUCAGUCAGUUAAGUGUCUGACUUUGGCUCAGGGCGUGAUCUCCCGCUUUGGGAGUUCGAGCCCCGCAUCAGGCUCAGAGCCUGGAGCCUGCUUCCGAUUCUGCGUCUCCCUCUCUCUCGGUCCGUCCCCUGCUCGCACUCUGUCUCUCCCUCUCUCUCCAAAAUAAACAAACAUUUAAAACAGAAGAAAAUAUGAAAGAAAAGUGGGUACUUGAGACACCACUGUCCAAUGUCUCCUUUCUUUCUCGUCGUCGGGACCGGCAUUAACUUCAAAUGAUCCGUCUACUGAGACACUUGCCGGGAACAAACAAAAGCCGAUGACCCUGGAGGCUGCUGAAAAGCAGGCCGAAGGCCUGAAGGCUCCAAGUGUGUGGAGCGUUUUGCCCUCAGAUGGAAAGGCCAAAAGAGUGCAUUUGACAAAACGCUAUUUAUUAGUUGCCCUACAGCUUCCGGGAGAGAAAAACCAUAGGUGUGAGCUGCAGUGAGCCUCCCUCUGGAGCCCUUUCUGCACCAGUGGCGUCCACAUGCUACCAAAAGCAAUGUGUAAAUUGCACUAAAGAUUAAAAAUUCAAAUAUGCUUUUGCAACAAUGAGAAAUAUCCUGCUUCCGCCCAUACGUACUCUUGCGAGACAAGGCCCGUAGGUAUGGUCUGACUCGAUUUAAAUACUAGGUAACGUAAAAUGCAAUGCGUUGUAAGAAGACUGACCAGCACCAUUUUUUGGCCUUUGUUUAUUUCAAACAAUCGUGUCCGUUGAAAAGGAAGGCAUGCUUGUAAUAACUCUGUGAUAAAUUCUUGGCUCAGACUGUUGAAACGGCUUCCUGGUUACAUUCCGGAGAGGAAUUUGGUACAUCUUAGUGAACUCUUUUGUUUUUCGUUUUUUUCUUUUUCCUUUGAGGGGAUGUAUGGAGCAGGUGUUCUUUGGUCUCGUUUUUCAUUAACCGGCGGACAGCCCUUGAGCAGAGGAGUAUGGAUGCAUUGCUUAUUCCACUUCCCAGACCUCAUUUGGAAACCAUGAUCCCCAUGUGGUGCCAUUAGGAAAUAAUGGAGUAAAUGUGUCACUUAACAACACCUAUUCCUUUUUUUGAAAAUUGCCUUUUCCCUCCGUGAGGGGGCCCAGUAUUUUACGAAACUUAUUGUGACGUACGAAAACGGAUGGAACUUCGAGGCACCGUAGAUGGGACUGUGGCUGUCAAGGAACUUUGUCUGCCCUGUGCUGUUCUUGAAGUUGUUUUCUGGCCUCUUUCACUGAUAAAUGGAGAAAAGGAUUGUGCCAGUUGAAGUAAUUCAAAUGGAUUUCAUAACCGGGGAGUCCAUGUUAAUCUCAACAAGUUAAUAAAUGCAAAGGGGAGAAGAGAAAGCUCUUCCUUGAAACAGAAUGCCACCCGACAUGCGCAGUAGGAAUGGCGAAAAUGAAAGAAUCCCUACUUGACAUUCAAAUCAUCACAGCAGCAACCGAUGUCACCAGGAGUUGUUAAUGGAUGGGAGGGUUGGUGGAUGGAGGUUUGAGGAAUAGGGUAAUUUCAGAACAUCUCUUCACAAAAGAUUGGGGGUCAAAUACAAAGGAGGAGAUGGCAGCUUAACCUGAGGAAGCCUGGCAGACACCAGCUUGCUCGGGUGAUGGCUACCAACAUCUUAGUGGCACCAGAAGAUACCGUGUGGCCACUGACACGAUACACUGUGAGGAGCCGAGCAUCGUUUCUGUGCUAUUUCUGCCAAGAGUAUGUGGCUCACAUCUGGUCAGUAGGAAACAUAAGACCAACUCCCAAGUGGUGGCCAUUCUACAGGCCACCUGUAUUCUUGAAGCUUUGCAAAGACUUGAGGGCAAGAAGAGACUGAGGAACCAUUCCAGACUGAAGGGAGUUAAUGUGACUAAAUGCAACACACGCUCCUAGGUAGGAUGCUGGGAAAUAAGACAUUUGGUGGGACAGUUGCUAAAAUUUGGAUGGGGUUUAUGGAUGAGAUGGUAAUGUGCCAGUGUUGAUUUCCUGAUUUUCAGAGGUUUGCAGAGUGGCAACGUAAGGGAAUAUUCUUGUUUGGGAGAAGUGUGUCCCAGAAUAUUUAGUGGUAAGGGGAAAUCUGGGCUUAAGGGAGGAGGAAGUUCUUUGUUUUGUUCUUGCAAGUUUUUGGUACAUGUGAAACCUUAUUAAAAACAAAAGGCUGGAAGAAAAGCAAAAUGGUAAGAGUAGUUGCCCUCUGAAUACCAAGAUUAUUCCUGUUUUUUUUUUAAGGUUUUGUCAAAUUUUUGCUAUACUUUCCAGGUAUCCUAUAAUAAACGUGAAUAUUUUAGUUGAAGGACAUCGUAAUAAGGUACAUAAAGCCUACCACUUGAUUUCUUACUUGUAUGUAUACACUGGGCAACACAGUGAACAUUUCUAGCACCAUCGAAGUUGUCCCUAGGUGACUUCCCAGUUUCUACGCCACCACUGAAAGUUUCCACUAUUCCAACUUCUUUCAGCGAUUUUUACCGGUUCUUGAAUUUCACAUAAAUGGAACCACACAGUUAUGUUCUCUUUUGUGUCUGGUGUCUUUUGCUCAAGACACCUGUGAGAAUCAUUCAUGUUAUAUCUACCAAUAAUUUACUCCUUUGAAGUGCUGUGAAGUAUUCCACUGUAUGCAUAUAUUACAAUGUCUCCAUUCUCUUCUUGGUGAGAAUUGUUUUUAACAGUUUGGAGCUACUAUAAUAAAACAUAUAUGAACUCUCUCAAACAUUUCAUUCUGUGGAACUUAGGAAAGCAAUUGCUUAGAUAUAGUGCAGACCAGUUGUCAGCAAACUUUUUCUGUAAAGAACCAGCUAAUAAAAUAUUUUAGGUUUUGCAAGCCAAACAUUCUGUCAUAGCUAGUCAACCCUGCCAUAGACAAUACCCAUCUUCCAAGCCUUCUCAGAAACUCAGUUGCCCCUGGACACAGUUCUGAUUCUCUGUGUGUGGCAGUCCGUCUUGAUCAUGGGGCACAGGCAUGAGGACAAAGGCAACAUACUACGGAUGAGAGGCCAAAAAAAUAUGUAAAGAAAAUAAGUCUCUGAUGGCAUUUUUGAGCAGCUAAACCAACGCCAGAAACUACCUACUUCAAAAGUGACUUAAUAGGUGAGAAAAACAAACCCCUAUUAAGAUUCUGCGAGGUUUUUUGUUGUUGUUGUUACUUGUAACUCGAUGCAUGGCUGACAGAUAUUUUCAUUCCACUUCAGUUAUUCAAUAAACUAACAUAGAUUUGUUGAAUACUUGUCGUAUAUGCUAUGGUUCUGUUAUGCUUUUGUUUCAUAAAGUAUUACAAGGAGUUCACAACAUGACUCCUACUUGAAGAAUUAUACUGUCUUUCAAAGUAAAUACAGAACUAGAUCAGUAAAUAUUUAAAAAUGAACACAUGAUACAUAACCAUCCCGUUUCAAAUAAAUGAGACGAUGAUGACCAACUGAUAUUUGUAUGUAUAAUGAUUUUCUCUAUUCCAGUGGGAAAAUAAAUACUCCUUGCCUGGAUAUUGAAAGGUAGAGGACAGCUUCAGUCUAAGGUUUGAAGCUGAUAGCAUUCACAAGUGAAAGGCAGCCGCUCUCGUGGAGAGAUUUAAGGGUUCCUAAACAUCUGCGUAAGCAAAGUUCGAUUCCUUAGCCUGCAUGUUUUUAAAAAAAAGCCCAUUGUUAAAAUUAGUCUUUGGAGUUAGAGAAUUAUCCCAGAGUGGUCCUGGGAUACACGUUAGCCAGAAGGUGUAACAUUAAUAAUCGUCAUUGUAGGUUUGUGUGCCAGGGUGCUGCUAGCUGAAAGUAAGCCUCUGAAGGAUUGAGGUGACAAAAGAGGUAGUAGCAUUUGAAAGAGGUUUGCGAAGAGAAGUGUGGAAGGUAGUUUGGUAAGGGCUUCCCGGGGGAGCCAAGUGUACUUGCCUACACUGGCUGCCAUAACAAAAUACCACAGACUGGGUGGCUUAAAUGACAGAGAUUUAUUUGCUUCCAGUUGCGGAGGUUGGAAGUCCAUGAUCAAGGUACCAGCAAAUUCAGUUUCUAGUGAGACCUCCCUCCCUGGCUUCUAGAUGGCCACCCUGUCACUGUGUCCUCACAUGGUCUUUCCUUGGUGUCUGUGCUUUGGGGGAGACAGAGAGGAGGCUCUCUGGUGUCUCUUCUUAUAAGGACACUAAUCCUCUUGGAUCAGGGCCCCACCUUUAUGACCUCAUUUAACCUUAACUGCUUCGUUAGAGGCCCCAUCUCCAAAAAUAGCCAUGCUGGGUGUUAGAGCUUCAACGUAUGAAUAUUGGGGCGGGCACAAACAUUCAGUCCGUGAUACCAAGGAGCAGAAUGAAAUAUCGAAUGUUGAAGGGAAGGAGCAAGAAAAAAACAUACAGAAGCCACGUGGCAUGAAGGCAUGGUCAGUGGCUUGGGGCCAAGGGUUCUGGUCCAGGCCUCACCACCAACUUGCUUGCCACGAGCUGUGGUUCAACCAUUUUGCGUAUCUUCAGUUAAAAUGAAAAGAGCAAAUGAGAGAUCUCUACAGUCAAACAUAUAAUGAGGUAAACGUGGAAAGAGGCAGUAUGGCUCUUAGAUUAGGGAAGCAGAGCCAUACCACUGGUCCUAUGCCUCAGGACACAGUGCUCUGGAGUGACUUCCUUGAAGAAAAUCCCCCCUCUGAAGCCUGACGCUUGGGGCUAGCCAUGCCAUCUGCACUUGGUGCGCAGAUUAUGACUUUAUAUUGGUCCCAGCCCUCAUUUUCUUUUCCCAGGAGCACUUCCCGGCCCUCUACCUCACAUGUUGGGUAAACCAGAAGCCCUAUGGAGCUCUGGAACUCCUGCUUAGAGCCAGCCUGGGGCCUCAUAGAGGCACCAAGUCCCAGAAGGGCAGUUUGAAGAGCAACAGGUUACUACCACUGGCCACCAAGUGAUUCUUUUACAGGAUCACAUGGGAUUGGGCCACAAGAAUAGUGCUGAGACACUGAAUUUGUGGUGACUCUCCUUCACAUAGGACAAUAGACGAAGACUCUUCGCAUGCACUGAUUGGAAGAUAAACAAGUACCUCUUCUCUACCUAUAAUUUUAAGUCUCCGUCAAUAAAUAUAACUCACAUGGGUCCAUGAAUUUUGUAAUUUCUAAUUUGAAAUAAACUGCUUAUAUCGACAGGCAACUUAUGAAAAAUUUUUCCAUACCUCAUGCACCCUGGGGUAACCCUAGAAAGAGGCAUAUCUAGUUUACAUUUUGUCUGAAACUAUAUCUGGCUAAGAUAUAGUUGGAGGAGUCAAAGUAGAUAAGAAUUCAUAGUGAGGAGGUCUCCAGAAGGGGGAAUCCUGGCAGCUAAAAUAUUAAUCUUAGGAAAAGGGAAGAGCAAUUCAGAACCUUCCCAUAUCUUUGUUUCUUGUAGGUAACACUAAGGGCAGUACAUGAAAUUGAAUCUGAAGCCUUAAAGUUAAUUAAUCUUCAGCACUGAUCACCUGUCAGGUGUUUUGUUACUUACUCAUUCAUUGCUCUAUAAAUAGCCCCCUAACCUUGAUCUGGAUGGUUCAACUGUAGAGUAGGUUCAACUUAGUAGUAGCUGCUAAGGCCUGCUUUUCUGUUUCUCAUCUUGUAAGACAGAUGCAACUGAAAAAGCAGCCAGAGGGUUCUUAGUGAGUCAUUUGUAGGCCUUAACUGGACUGGUGCAAUCAGUGUUUCUGGUGCCCAAAAGUCUUUGGAUACAGUGCCAGUUAUCAGUUGAUUACCUUUAAGCUCCUGUCUAUCCUCUGUUACCUGCUCUGCCAUAUUGGAGCGGAACCAUCGGAAUAUUUCUCCUUUGUAGCAAGCAUGAUGUUAAGCUUUGUCAGUCAAUUACUGUGGAGGGACAUUGCAGAAGGAAGGGGCUUCUCUUCCCAGUGCCAGUGUGUUCAUCUCAUGAGACAAUUGCAUGCUUAUGAUCUUUUCUGCCGUACUCAAUGGGCCAGCAACAUGUGGCACCUUUCAGUGGGCAUCUCCCCCGCCCCCGACCUACCUCAGAAAGCUAUGCGUCAGAAUGCCUCCGGUGGGACACCUUCCUACUACAGGCUUCCCCUAGCUCAUUCUCCUUUGUCAGAGUUCACUUUCCCAAAAAAAAUGCCAGGAAAUGCUCAUUUUCUAAUGCCAAUCUUAACCGCACUCAUUGUGAACAUUUUCAUUCUGCAAACGGUUUAAGAAGUGAACAUCAGAAAUGAGCCUUAGGGCUCAUAGGGCUUAUGUUUCUGAACAUGUUUCUAAAUAUUUUUAUUCCCCAGAGGAAGAAAGACUGGGAGAAAUGAAGGUAGGGUGGCACAUGUUGCCAAGGCAGAGCUUGGCAAAUGGGAUAUGAAUCUGGCUCGUCAGAUACCUGAAGAUUCGGGCCUGUAUCUAGAUGCCAAGGUCAGUUAGGGACACUUUCUGUGUACAAGACACUGUUUUAAAGAUGGCUAGAGUAGCCAUUCAAUUCUCACCACAACCAGGUGAGAAAAGUCCCAACUAUUAGCCUUGUUCUAAAUGAGGUUAAAAAAACUUGCUUGGGGUCUAGAAGAGGCAGAGCUUAGAUUUCAACCAGGACAUUCUGUCUCCAGAACUCUUAACUCUUAACCACUCCGCUAACUAAAGUAACGUACUUGGUGGUCAAGCUUAGAGUGUCUUUGGAGGGAAUCCCUCAAGACAGCCCUUAAAAAAUAUAUAAAAAAACAUAAGAGCAUAACUACUCUGUUUUUCAUUACACUAUCCCCCAAACCUGUUUGAACCCACUUUCUUCACUUGCCAUCCAAACCGUAGAGGUUGCUAGAGAGGUCACAAAGCCAGACUGUCUUACAGAAUUUAAACUCAUGAUCAUUAGUCUCAAAGGGACACUGAACCACCUGCUGAUUCUACUGUUUCCCUCAUCAUAACCUCAUGUUCCCAACAUUCUGAGGCGCUCCAACUUUAUCCCUGAAAACCUCCCACGUUCUUCUCAACAGGCCUCUUCCUCCCUACCUUGCCUCAUAGUUAACUGGAAAGUAGAAGUCAUCAGAUAAAAGCCUCAUCUUCCCACAAUGGGAUCCACAAGCCCUCCUGCAUCUGCAGACACCUUUUCUUCCUGUUGCAGGGGGAGAAAGGCCUUCUAACAAUGGCAGAUACUUUCACUGUACUCGGGUCGUUUCCUCUCUCUGCUAUGCCAGUUCAUUCCUUCCACCUUCCUUCUCUUUCCUGUGCUCCUGUUACAAUGCUCCCUUUCUACUUAGUUGGUCCCAUAGUAUAUUCAUGUGCUCUCGCAUUUCCUGUCUUCAUAAGGAGACUAUUUUUUGGCAGCCCAUUCCCUCUGUCCUCUCAUUGCUCUGUUCCUGUUUUUAAGUGUAUUUAUUUAUUUUGAGAGAGAGUGCACAAGGCAGGGAGGGGCAGAGAGAGAAUCCUAAGCAGGCUCCACACUGUCAGCUCAGAGCCCAACACAGGGCUCGAACUCACGAACCGUGAGAUCACAACCAGAGCCAAAAUCAAGAGUCAGACGCUUCACCCACUGAGCCACUCAGGCGUCCCCUCGAUGCUCUGUUCUCAUCCACAGCAAACCUUCUGGAACAGGUUGUGUUCAUUUUGUCACUUGACGUGCUCACCCACGCUGGUUCGCUUUUGUCCCCGACUCUCCAAAUGAAACUGAACUGGUCAAGUCCCCAGUAACUUCCACAUUUUCAAAUCCAGUGGCUUAUUAUCAGAAGCUUACCUUGUUCACUUAAUUUGGUAGCUUUAAUUUGGCUACUUUUUCAAACACUUUUCCUAUCUUCGUUUCCCUUAUAGUAUAUUUUCUUGGUUUUCCUUCAUAUCAGCCAAACUGGCUACAGACACCAUGGAUUGGGAAAUAUUUUCUAGUUUCCAAAUAGUAAAAAUUUUAGGCUUUGAAGGCCACAUAGGAUUCUGCCCCAUGUUCUUUUCUGCUUAUUUAGGACUUUUUUUUUAAACAACACUUAAGAAUGUUAAAAAUCAUUCUUAGUUCAUGGGUAACACAAAGACAAUAGGCAAGGUUUGGCCUAUGGGCUAUAGUUCGCCAAUCCCUGACUUAAACAACAAAGGUUUAAUUCUUGCUUAUGUUCCUCUUAAUCAUGGAUCUGCUGAGGGUUCUGCUCAUUUUAGUGACUCCAGACUCAGUCUGGUUGAACAACCAAUAUCUAUCUCAAACAAGACAGCCACUAUGCCAGAGUGAGUGAAACAAGGGUUCUGGAAUGUUCUACAUCAGCAGUGGUGGCUCACAACUCAUUGGCUGGAAGUAGUCACAUGGCCCACCCAACCAUAAGAGAGCUCUGAAAUUUAGCCCCACUGAUGAACAUCACUAAUCAGAAUCCCAUUUUUAGAAGGCAUUUCUCCACAGGUCUCUCCUGUUUUUGCUUAUCCUACAAGUAGAGGCAUUGAAAGCUUUUGUUCCAGACCACCUUUACAAGGGUGUCUGUAUAGCAAAAAGCCAUAAAGGAUAAAAGUUGUGCCUCAUUGUGAAUCAAGUUUUGUUUACUGUUCCGUAUGAUAAUGUGUUUCUGAGGCUAUAGAUAAGCACGUUUGCUUGGAACCUAUUAAAAAGAUGGAGGUUCCCAAAGCUCUGAGUCCUUCAUCUGCAAUCUGUAUAUCAUCCCCAUUGGAUUUGGGGGCAGGAGGAACUGAGUGAACAUUCCUGUGGCUUUCUGUGUCAUGAGAAAUAAAGUGCUUUGUCCCUGACCCGGCAUCUUGUGUCUUCUGUCAGUACCCAUGAAACCAUAGCAGGCUAAGUCAAGAAGACAAAGAAGUUUCCCAUUCUCACGGGAAGAGUGGGGCCACUUUUAUUCUUGUCACUUCACCAAAAGGUCUUUCCUGAACUUCCCUAUAAGUUAUUCUCUACCACAUCGUCUUAUUUCCUUCACAGGUAAUAUAAAUAUCUGAAACAUAAAUUUUGUCUUCAUUUUCUUUUUCCCUUCCCUUAGAUGUAUACUCUUUAAAAGUUGACAACACCAUCUUCAGUGCCAAGAACAGUGGUCUGGCAUAUAUUGGAGACUCAGAACAGCUAUAUUGAAGGAAGAGGGGAUAGAAUAGAGGAAUAAAAUUAGUGUGAGUGCCCCCAAUUCACAACAGGUCUGAGCAUUCCUCUCCAGCUCCAGAGCUGAAAUGUAUUCAGCAAGGUGAGCCAAAGAGACAGCUAAGCCUUCAGGAAAGGUUAGCCAGUGGGAGUAAGUUCAGAUUUAGAGAGACCUUUUUCCAUCAGAACAAGAAUACGGGACCUAUUUCCAUGCCAAUCUGUAUCCCUGAAUGGAGCUAAAAGUUUCUCCCUUGAAUGAACAGGUAUGGGUAUAGAUCGUGGCUAGCCCUGAGUAGUAGGAAUGUUGGAGCCCCUCAACUUCCACUGCAAAGCCAACACUGGAAGUACAAGAAAAAGGCCUGGGUAUCAGCUUUAUGAUGGUGAUGCAGUCGGGAGGAUGUUUUUAAUUUGCAUCUCUCCCUUAAGAGAUCCCUUAUAAGCUUCCCUCAAUCUACACUUCCUGUGGGUUUGAUUCUCAAUGUAGUGACUCUUAACAAUUUUUAGAUUCAAAACCAUGUACCUACCUUUCCUUGCCCUGACAAAUUUGGAGGGGAGACCAAAAAGGCCAUUCUUAUAAAAAAAAAUGUUUUUUUCUAAUUACCAUUAUCUCUGUCCAAAACUCAGUGUCUCUUGUUUAUUUUUGUUCUCUUCUGCUCUCUCAGUAUUCUUCCCAUCCUUCUCUCCUUUUGCUUUUCACUUUGCAGGCUUUCUUUGGGAUUUUGCCUGAAGUCCACGGCAUUAUCCUGACUAUUGACGUUUGCAAUAAUUCUUUUCUUAGCUGAAUUUUAGAUACUGCAAACCGGCCUGAAGAGAAUGACAGCAAUUUUUACUUAUUUACUUUAAAUUGCAGCCAUAGUUUAAGGGCCUUGAAUUUCCAGAGUAAGGUGAAGUAUUGUUUUAUUAAUUCACCAUUUAAUACAGACAGAAGGAUUUGCUGGCUCUUGAAUCAACAUGACAAAUCGAGAACUCGGUUCCUUUUUUUUUUAAAUGAGCUAAGCAAAUAUUUACUUCAGUAAUGAAGGGAAAAUGUGCGUCACACUCUUCUGAUGCCUUGGAAUUGCUUUCUGUUUGGCUAAAACAGUGAAUCUCAAAAAGGUACUCCUACAGAAUAGUUUCCCAGUGAGAUGGGCUAAUGUAUUCUAGUGCUCAAAUUUUAACAAUAGUAUUUUCCCAAUUACCUGGGGGGGGGGGGGGGG